AAGCCAGCAGGACACAAUACAUGGAGAGAUGACCAACCCAUAGCUAUAGAUGAGGGGAGUGGAACCUCAACCCAGAAUGUUAUCGUGAUAGAGUCUGCAGAUGCAGAGGCUGCAGGUCCUGGAGGAUCGUCUCUGGUCAAGCAGAAGAGGUCUGAAGGAGAGGAGGACCCACAACACAACAGAGACAUCCAGACUGGAGCAGCAGCUGGAGUGGCGCCCCCUGUAGCCACGGAGGACCUCGCCACCAAUACAGCGCCCCAGCCCAGGACCCAACACAGCAUCACGGAGGAGGAGGAGGCUCCAGAGGUGCUGCUGGUGAAGGAGGAGGG